rnacentral:rRNA from 1 species
AUUGAACGCUGGCGGCAGGCUUAACACAUGCAAGUCGAGCGGAGAUGAGGUGCUUGCACCUUAUCUUAGCGGCGGACGGGUGAGUAAUGCUUAGGAAUCUGCCUAUUGGUGGGGGACAACAUUCCGAAAGGAAUGCUAAUACCGCAUACGCCCUACGGGGGAAAGCAGGGGAUCUUCGGACCUUGCGCUAAUAGAUGAGCCUAAGUCGGAUUAGCUAGUUGGUGGGGUAAAGGCCUACCAAGGCGACGAUCUGUAGCGGGUCUGAGAGGAUGAUCCGCCACACUGGGACUGAGACACGGCCCAGACUCCUACGGGAGGCAGCAGUGGGGAAUAUUGGACAAUGGGCGGAAGCCUGAUCCAGCCAUGCCGCGUGCGUGAAGAAGGCCUUUUGGUUGUAAAGCACUUUAAGCGAGGAGGAGGCUACCUGGAUUAAUACUCUAGGAUAGUGGACGUUACUCGCAGAAUAAGCACCGGCUAACUCUGUGCCAGCCGCCGCAGUAAAAC